CAAAAGAAGUAGGUAGCUUAACCUUCGGGAGGGCGCUUACCACUUUGUGAUUCAUGACUGGGGUGAAGUCGUAACAAGGUAACCGUAGGGGAACCUGCGGUUGGAUCACCUCCUUACCUUAAAGAAGC
rnacentral:rRNA from 4 species